rnacentral:lncRNA from 1 species
UUCAGUUUGUUGUUUGAUUUUUUUCAGCUAAUAAAAAGGCUCACGAAGGGAAAGAGAAACAAGUGAUAAAAGUGGAAGAAGUUGAGAAAAAUCAAUAUAGAAACCAUGCACUGAAAACCCCGAAAAAAACACAAUAAAAACAAAAUCCCCAUAAAAAACCAAAGAGCUACUACGGUCAGUCGUAGCACCUGCUAUAGUCCGUAGCAACCCCCUCAUCCAAAAAAAAUUAAACCACAAUCCCCAUAUAAAUUUCAGGGACCUACUACGGGUUGUUGUAGCAGGACCCAACGCCCCGAAGUUCAAAUUUUUGAAUUCUUUCUCCCAUUUUCUCUUGUCCCCACCCACCUUUCUCACAUCCAAUUAUUC